AAUACCGUAUAACAAUCGAAACCGCAUGGUUUUGAUUUGAAAGGCGCUUUCGGGUGUCGCUGAUGGAUGGACCCGCGGUGCAUUAGCUAGUUGGUGAGGUAACGGCUCACCAAGGCCACGAUGCAUAGCCGACCUGAGAGGGUGAUCGGCCACAUUGGGACUGAGACACGGCCCAAACUCCUACGGGAGGCAGCAGUAGGGAAUCUUCGGCAAUGGACGAAAGUCUGACCGAGCAACGCCGCGUGAGUGAAGAAGGUUUUCGGAUCGUAAAACUCUGUUGUUAGAGAAGAACAAGGAUGAGAGUAACUGUUCAUCCCUUGACGGUAUCUAACCAGAAAGCCACGGCUAACUACGUGCCAGCAGCCGCGGUAAUACGUAGGUGGCAAGCGUUGUCCGGAUUUAUUGGGCGUAAAGCGAGCGCAGGCGGUUUCUUAAGUCUGAUGUGAAAGCCCCCGGCUCAACCGGGGAGGGUCAUUGGAAACUGGGAGACUUGAGUGCAGAAGAGGAGAGUGGAAUUCCAUGUGUAGCGGUGAAAUGCGUAGAUAUAUGGAGGAACACCAGUGGCGAAGGCGGCUCUCUGGUCUGUAACUGACGCUGAGGCUCGAAAGCGUGGGGAGCAAACAGGAUUAGAUACCCUGGUAGUCCACGCCGUAAACGAUGAGUGCUAAGUGUUGGAGGGUUUCCGCCCUUCAGUGCUGCAGCUAACGCA
rnacentral:rRNA from 1 species